rnacentral:rRNA from 1 species
GGGUUGUGAGGUUAAGCGACUAAGCGUACACGGUGGAUGCCCUGGCAGUCAGAGGCGAUGAAGGACGUGCUAAUCUGCGAUAAGCGUCGGUAAGGUGAUAUGAACCGUUAUAACCGGCGAUUUCCGAAUGGGGAAACCCAGUGUGUUUCGACACACUAUCAUUAACUGAAUCCAUAGGUUAAUGAGGCGAACCGGGGGAACUGAAACAUCUAAGUACCCCGAGGAAAAGAAAUCAACCGAGAUUCCCCCAGUAGCGGCGAGCGAACGGGGAGCAGCCCAGAGCCUGAAUCAGUGUGUGUGUUAGUGGAAGCGUCUGGAAAGGCGCGCGAUACAGGGUGACAGCCCCGUACACAAAAAUGCACAUGCUGUGAGCUCGAUGAGUAGGGCGGGACACGUGGUAUCCUGUCUGAAUAUGGGGGGACCAUCCUCCAAGGCUAAAUACUCCUGACUGACCGAUAGUGAACCAGUACCGUGAGGGAAAGGCGAAAAGAACCCCGGCGAGGGGAGUGAAAAAGAACCUGAAACCGUGUACGUACAAGCAGUGGGAGCACGCUUAGGCGUGUGACUGCGUACCUUUUGUAUAAUGGGUCAGCGACUUAUAUUCUGUAGCAAGGUUAACCGAAUAGGGGAGCCGAAGGGAAACCGAGUCUUAACUGGGCGUUAAGUUGCAGGGUAUAGACCCGAAACCCGGUGAUCUAGCCAUGGGCAGGUUGAAGGUUGGGUAACACUAACUGGAGGACCGAACCGACUAAUGUUGAAAAAUUAGCGGAUGACUUGUGGCUGGGGGUGAAAGGCCAAUCAAACCGGGAGAUAGCUGGUUCUCCCCGAAAGCUAUUUAGGUAGCGCCUCGUGAAUUCAUCUCCGGGGGUAGAGCACUGUUUCGGCAAGGGGGUCAUCCCGACUUACCAACCCGAUGCAAACUGCGAAUACCGGAGAAUGUUAUCACGGGAGACACACGGCGGGUGCUAACGUCCGUCGUGAAGAGGGAAACAACCCAGACCGCCAGCUAAGGUCCCAAAGUCAUGGUUAAGUGGGAAACGAUGUGGGAAGGCCCAGACAGCCAGGAUGUUGGCUUAGAAGCAGCCAUCAUUUAAAGAAAGCGUAAUAGCUCACUGGUCGAGUCGGCCUGCGCGGAAGAUGUAACGGGGCUAAACCAUGCACCGAAGCUGCGGCAGCGACGCUUAUGCGUUGUUGGGUAGGGGAGCGUUCUGUAAGCCUGCGAAGGUGUGCUGUGAGGCAUGCUGGAGGUAUCAGAAGUGCGAAUGCUGACAUAAGUAACGAUAAAGCGGGUGAAAAGCCCGCUCGCCGGAAGACCAAGGGUUCCUGUCCAACGUUAAUCGGGGCAGGGUGAGUCGACCCCUAAGGCGAGGCCGAAAGGCGUAGUCGAUGGGAAACAGGUUAAUAUUCCUGUACUUGGUGUUACUGCGAAGGGGGGACGGAGAAGGCUAUGUUGGCCGGGCGACGGUUGUCCCGGUUUAAGCGUGUAGGCUGGUUUUCCAGGCAAAUCCGGAAAAUCAAGGCUGAGGCGUGAUGACGAGGCACUACGGUGCUGAAGCAACAAAUGCCCUGCUUCCAGGAAAAGCCUCUAAGCAUCAGGUAACAUCAAAUCGUACCCCAAACCGACACAGGUGGUCAGGUAGAGAAUACCAAGGCGCUUGAGAGAACUCGGGUGAAGGAACUAGGCAAAAUGGUGCCGUAACUUCGGGAGAAGGCACGCUGAUAUGUAGGUGAAGCGACUUGCUGGUGGAGCUGAAAUCAGUCGAAGAUACCAGCUGGCUGCAACUGUUUAUUAAAAACACAGCACUGUGCAAACACGAAAGUGGACGUAUACGGUGUGACGCCUGCCCGGUGCCGGAAGGUUAAUUGAUGGGGUUAGCGCAAGCGAAGCUCUUGAUCGAAGCCCCGGUAAACGGCGGCCGUAACUAUAACGGUCCUAAGGUAGCGAAAUUCCUUGUCGGGUAAGUUCCGACCUGCACGAAUGGCGUAAUGAUGGCCAGGCUGUCUCCACCCGAGACUCAGUGAAAUUGAACUCGCUGUGAAGAUGCAGUGUACCCGCGGCAAGACGGAAAGACCCCGUGAACCUUUACUAUAGCUUGACACUGAACAUUGAGCCUUGAUGUGUAGGAUAGGUGGGAGGCUUUGAAGUGUGGACGCCAGUCUGCAUGGAGCCGACCUUGAAAUACCACCCUUUAAUGUUUGAUGUUCUAACGUUGACCCGUAAUCCGGGUUGCGGACAGUGUCUGGUGGGUAGUUUGACUGGGGCGGUCUCCUCCUAAAGAGUAACGGAGGAGCACGAAGGUUGGCUAAUCCUGGUCGGACAUCAGGAGGUUAGUGCAAUGGCAUAAGCCAGCUUGACUGCGAGCGUGACGGCGCGAGCAGGUGCGAAAGCAGGUCAUAGUGAUCCGGUGGUUCUGAAUGGAAGGGCCAUCGCUCAACGGAUAAAAGGUACUCCGGGGAUAACAGGCUGAUACCGCCCAAGAGUUCAUAUCGACGGCGGUGUUUGGCACCUCGAUGUCGGCUCAUCACAUCCUGGGGCUGAAGUAGGUCCCAAGGGUAUGGCUGUUCGCCAUUUAAAGUGGUACGCGAGCUGGGUUUAGAACGUCGUGAGACAGUUCGGUCCCUAUCUGCCGUGGGCGCUGGAGAACUGAGGGGGGCUGCUCCUAGUACGAGAGGACCGGAGUGGACGCAUCACUGGUGUUCGGGUUGUCAUGCCAAUGGCACUGCCCGGUAGCUAAAUGCGGAAGAGAUAAGUGCUGAAAGCAUCUAAGCACGAAACUUGCCCCGAGAUGAGUUCUCCCUGACCCUUUAAGGGUCCUGAAGGAACGUUGAAGACGACGACGUUGAUAGGCCGGGUGUGUAAGCGCAGCGAUGCGUUGAGCUAACCGGUACUAAUGAACCGUGAGGCUUAACCUUACAACGCCGAAGCUGUU